rnacentral:rRNA from 1 species
GGAUAACCGCUGAAAGCAUCUAAGCGGGAAGCCCACCCCAAGAUAAGGCCUCCCACGGGGUUAAUCCGGUAAGGGCCCGGGAAGACUACCCGGUUGAUGGGCCGGAGGUGGAAGCCCAGCAAUGGGUGGAGCUGACCGGUCCCAAUAGCCCGAGGGCUUGACUGU